AACUUUCAACAACGGAUCUCUUGGUUCUCGCAUCGAUGAAGAACGCAGCGAAAUGCGAUAAGUAGUGUGAAUUGCAGAAUUCAGUGAAUCAUCGAAUCUUUGAACGCACAUUGCGCCUUCCGGUAUUCCGGAAGGCAUGCCUGUCCGAGCGUCA
rnacentral:rRNA from 1 species